rnacentral:rRNA from 1 species
GACGAACGCUGGCGGCGUGCUUAACACAUGCAAGUCGAACGGAAAGGCCCUGCUUUUGUGGGGUGCUCGAGUGGCGAACGGGUGAGUAACACGUGAGUAACCUGCCCUUGACUUUGGGAUAACUUCAGGAAACUGGGGCUAAUACCGGAUAGGAGCUCCUGCUGCAUGGUGGGGGUUGGAAAGUUUCGGCGGUUGGGGAUGGACUCGCGGCUUAUCAGCUUGUUGGUGGGGUAGUGGCUUACCAAGGCUUUGAAGGGUAGCCGGCCUGAGAGGGUGACCGGCCACAUUGGGACUGAGGUACGGCCCAGACUCCUACGGGAGGCAGCGGGGGGGAAUAUUGCGCAAUGGGCGGAAGCCUGAUGCAGCAGCGCCGCGUGCGGGAUGACGGCCUUCGGGUUGUAAACCGCUUUCGCCUGUGACGAAGCGUGAUUGACGGUAAUGGGUAAAGAAGCACCGGCUAACUACGUG